ensembl:lncRNA
AUCCAGAGAUUUAGUGAACCAGUGAUUCAGUGAUUCAGUGAUUCAGAGAUCUAGUGAACCGGUGAUUCAGUGAUCCAGUGAACCGGUGAUUCAGUGAACCAGUGAUUCAGUGAUUCAGUGAUUCAGUGAUCUAGUGAUUCAGUGAUCCAGUGAACCGGUGAUUCAGUGAACCAGUGAUUCAGUGAUUCAGUGAUCUAGUGAUUCAGUGAUUCAGUGAACCGGUGAUCAUUUGAUCCAGAGAUCGGGUGAUCCUGAUAGGAGGACCAGUGAGUCUAUGGGGUUUGAAACCUCCCAUAUAUCUGGGUGUGAAGAGGAGUAAUAGUAUGUGUGUGUGUGUGUGUGUGUGUGUGUGUGUGUGUGUGUGUGCAUACGAUGUCCAUACAUUCCCUUCACACAAAUACAAAGGCACCCUCACACGCACACGCACACACACACACACCCUCACACACACACACACACACACACACACACACACACACACACCCUCACACACACACACACACACACACACCAGGGCACACAAACACACACAGCUUAGUUCCCAGAGUCGCUUUACUCAGGAUCACUCUUUACACACACAUUCCUACCUUUCAGACAUCUCCAACCACUGAGAGAAGUGUGUGUGUGUGUGUGUGUGUGUGUGUGUGUGUGAGUGUGUGUGUGUGUGUGUGUGUGUGUGUGUGUGUGUGAGUCUGUGUGUGUAUGUGUGUGUGUGAGAGUGUGAGUCUGUGUGUGUGUUUGAGAAAGAGAGACUGAUCUGAUGGGGGCCAUUUUUUUUUAAACUUUUGUCUGAGUGGAAACUCAACUGCCAAUGAUUUUACCGUGUGUGUGUGUGUGUGUGUGUGUGUGUGUGUGUGUGUAUGUGUCCGUGUGUAUGCAUGCAUAUACCCACAUAUAUAUGGGAGGUUGGACCCUCUUACCCGUUCUGUGUGUUACCAUGGAGACGUCAUGUUACCAUGGAGACGUCAAACUCCACCUCUAUUAUGCGACAGAGAGAAGAUUUGAUGAGAUCAUUUAUGAUCAGACACCGAAAACAAAAUAAAACAGACCCUUCGAUGAAAUCCUCUAUUUUAUUAUAGUUCUUAUUAUCUCAUUAUCGUGUCCCUUGUGGCGGUGACUGCACACACAGAGACCUUGGCCGUCGCUGAAGAAGAAACUAUUUUUGGAAGUAUUCUAGCCUAGAGGUAGACAAACAUAGUAUUUAAAUCAGAGUAUUAAAUAUGUAUAUUGUUUAUCCUAUAGAUAUAUUUUGGUUGGGGAGACUCGAGUCACACAAUCUACCAAAGUCCCAUAAUGUGUACAUUGUAUCUUAAAAUAAUGAUGAUAUAUUUAGAGAAACUGGCUAACGGGAUCCUACAAGUUUUUAGUUUUGAAAAGAGAAACACUAUUAACUGAGAGAAAAGAAAUGAACAUUUCUAGUUUAUACUCAGACAUGUCGGUUUGUAAUGUAACGUGUUGUAUGUGUGUGUGUGAGUGUGUGUGUGUGUGUGUGUGUGUGUGUGUGUCAUUUCUAGUUUAUACUCAGACAUGUCGGUCUGUCAUGUAACGUGUUGUGUAUGUGUGUGUGUGUGUGUGUGUGUGUGUGAGUGUGUGUGUGUGUAUGUCAUUUCUAGUUUAUACUCAGACAUGUCGGUCUGUCAUGUAACGUGUUGUACUAUAUGAUGUUAAACAUUUCAUACCAGGGAACUCUGCUGAUUGGCCGGUUUGUCACAUGACCAUGGAUGUGGUCUUGAUUGGCUGUUUUGUCAAAUUAUCAGUGUUUUAUGGUUCUUUUGCAAUUGUGUGUGUGUGUGUGUGUGUGUGUGUGUGUGUGUGUGUAGACCACCAGUGCAUUGACAUUAUCAGACAAUGGAUACGCUGGAGGUGUUACGUUUGUUCUUGUGGGAGAUGGUUCAUGCUCCCCCUCCGUCUCUCACACACAUACACACACACACACACACACACACACACACACACACACACUCACACACACACACACACCUGUCAUGAAGUGAAUGACUGUGCCAUAACCAGGACUCUUCAGCCUCAGACCUCGUGACCAAACCUGACUGCUAACCUUACCGCCAUGUCCAUGCCAUUACAAUAUACUGUUGCCAUGACAAUAUACUGUUGUUGUUAUUUUGACUUUUUUCUUUACAAAUUCCUGUCCUUUCUUUUGGAUUUGUUUGUUUUUUUUCGUUCACAUUAAAUGUCCUUUUCUCUGAUGUUGGACCCUUUGUCUGUUCCCAACACACACACACACACCAGACACACA